GAGCACGUAGGUGGGUUUGUAAGUCAGAUGUGAAAGCCUUCCGUUCAACGGAAGAAUUGCAUCUGAAACUGCGAGUCUUGAGUGUAGGAGGGGAGAAUGGAACUUCUGGUGGAGCGGUGAAAUGCGUAGAUAUCAGAAGGAACGCCGGCGGCGAAAGCGAUUCUCAGGCCUAUUACUGACACUCAGUGUGCGAAAGCUAGGGGAGCAAACGGGAUUAGAUACCCCGGUAGUCCUAGCCGUAAACGAUGGGCACUAAGUAGAGGGGUUUU
rnacentral:rRNA from 1 species